rfam:Streptomyces incarnatus strain NRRL 8089 sequence.
UUGCGCACUCCGGGGUCGGUGUAAUUCCGAACCGGCGGUAAUAGUCCGCGACCCGGCCGCAGCCAGCGGCUGGUUGACCAGGUGGAAUUCCUGGACCGACGGUGAAAGUCCGGAAGGGAGGCAGUGCGCGG